ensembl:lncRNA
GGAACUUCUUGAAGAGGAGCCAUGACUUUCAUUCUUGGUUUCUUUCAGUUUUGAUUUGGUAACGUAACUUUUAUGCAACUAAUAUGUAAAUGUGAAUUUCUGAAAAAAUUGUGGUGAGAUUGUGGCUACUGUGCUGUUGCUUAGCAGGGUUGGGCUUAAAAUGUGCCGUUUUUUAAGGGGCAUUUGUGUUAUCGCAUAGCCUUUGCCAAGACCUUUUUAUUUUUGUAAUCUUAGAGAGGAAAUUUAAAUCCACCAAUGAGAGCCAUCAAUUUCAGGUGAGUCAUCAGUUAACCAGCAGUCACAUGUAACUGCAUUCUCUGACGUGCGUAACCAAAGCUUCAUUUUUUCUGUUGCACUGUUACUGUUCCUUUAAGGGACGUGUUUGAGUGUUCGUGCUGAGAGGGGGAGAGUGUUGACGGAGCUGGAGCGAAAAAUGCGGCAUUAGCUGUCCUGUUACACACCAAUAAACCGCUGGUGAAAGAAGAACGUCUGGUGCUUGGGAGUCUACACAAACGUUUCAACAUAUUUGUGUACAGAAAGUGUUCAGCAUCGCAAGUUUAUUUUUUAGCUGUCAGGAGAAAUACUGAGGUUUCAGUUUCACAAAGUCCACGCCUCCAACUACAAGUAGGACUGAACAACUGUUCUUCGUGAUCUUUGGAGUUGUGUUAAGAUGGGUGCAAUAUUCAAUCUACUUGAGCAGCACAGACUGGAAUCAUACUACAACCAGUUUGUUCAGAUGGGUGUUAAAGAUGAAAGAGAUUUCCUGGACAGUGUGACAGAAGAAGAUUUAAACAGCAUUGGUUUAAGUCAUGUGGAAAAGAAUCGUUUUGCAAUCAUGAAAGACUUCAUUCAAAGACUGAGCACUCCAGAACGUCAAAUCCUAACUGGCAGACCGGUGCAAAAGUCAGUAAAGUCGUUCAGUCUUCAGUACACAUUCCCCAAAUGUCUUAAACCAAAGGUUAUUUCAGAUAUGGAUCCGGCACAAAACACAAUUGAAGACAUAAUGCUGAGAAUCUGUCACCUUGAAAAUAUUGGAAACACCAAAGGAGUUUGUCUCUACACAGUAGAUGGGAUGCCCUUGACAGACGAUCCCUUCUUCAACACAUGGUCUUUGAAAGAAAGACACAUUGAAAAUGGAGCUGUAAUUUAUGCCAUAUUUACUCCGAGGGAAAACUUGACACAGGCUCCAAAAAUGCCAAGACAAGAGUCUGGUAAGACCUCUGGAACAGAUGUCAUUCGAUGUCACAUCAUGCUCAAGGGAAACUUUGAGAUCAUGGUGAAUUUGGAAACUGACACAAUCGCAACUCUAAAAGUGAUCCUGUCAAAUGCAAGUGGAAUACCAGCACAUGUCCUCCAUCCCAGAGGUAAUAAUCUGGGUGGUGAUACACUCCAAAAGUGUGGAAUCUCUGAAGGGUCAACUGUUGCCUUCACUCUUUCCUCUUUUACUGAAGAGACUCCCCUUGAUGAAACUUUCUACAUCAAUGAUGUCGUGCCUUCAGUGCAGCAAAGCCAGAAAGGAAUCAGUGUGUUCCUGUCUUCUCUUUAUGCUGUUGGGAGAGACCAUUCUGAAAUAAUCCGGAACAAACUGAUAGCUUACAUACGAAAAUUGACGGGAUGUAACCCCCUCGCCCAAAGUUUGCAUCAGUUACUCUGCAGGAAUGAAAGGAUGACCAGGAACCAGAAGAUUGCAGUUGUUGAGGGCUUAUACAUGCUCUUCAGGGAGUUAUUGCCCCAGCAAGCAACACAGCGAGGGAAAAAAGUCAUAGAGGACCAGGAUGUCUUUGAGAAUUCAUUGUACUGCUGGGCACAUCUCCUUUCAAAAAUUGAGAAACAAGCAUCAAACCAUGAAGUCUAUGCUCCCAUCUCGCUCGUGUCCAAAGAUGGUGACCAUUUCUGCGAACCUGUCAGAGUACCCGGAGUACCAGAUGUCUUUGAAAGGGCGUACGUCCUUCAGAAAAUCAAAGGUACAAAAUGCACUGAAAGAGUUUAAACUAUAAAGUUUAAAGGUUUUAAUGUGUCUAAAUGAAUACAGUUGUUUUAAUAUUUUAUGUUGU